rnacentral:rRNA from 1 species
UACGGAGGGGGCUAGCGUUGUUCGGAAUUACUGGGCGUAAAGCGCACGUAGGCGGCUUUGUCAGUUAGAGGUGAAAGCCCGGGGCUCAACUCCGGAAUUGCCUUUAAGACUGCAUCGCUAGAAUUGUGGAGAGGUAAGUGGAAUUCCGAGUGUAGAGGUGAAAUUCGUAGAUAUUCGGAAGAACACCAGUGGCGAAGGCGACUUACUGGACACAUAUUGACGCUGAGGUGCGAAAGCGUGGGGAGCAAACAGG